rnacentral:rRNA from 1 species
CCUACGGGCGGCAGCAGUGGGGGAUAUUGCACAAUGGGGGGAACCCUGAUGCAGCGACGCCGCGUGAGGGAAGACGGCCUUCGGGUUGUAAACCUCUGUCGCAGGGGACGAAAGAGAUGACGGUACCCUGUGAGGAAGCCACGGCUAACUACGUGCCAGCAGCCGCGGUAAUACGUAGGUGGCGAGCGUUGUCCGGAAUUACUGGGUGUAAAGGUAGCGUAGGCGGGAUAUUAAGUUGAAGGUAUAAACUACCGGCUUAACCGCUAGAAGCGUUCAAAACUGAUAUUCUUGAGUGAAGUAGAGGCAGGCGGAAUUCCUAGUGUAGCGGUGAAAUGCGUAGAUAUCAGGAGGAACACCGGUGGCGAAGGCGGCCUGCUGGACUGCAACUGACGUUGAGGCCCGAAAGCGUGGGGAGCGAACAGGAUUAGAUACCCGAGUAGUC